GCUGGGCACGGUGGUGCACGCCUGUAAUCCCAGUGGCUUGGGAGGCUGAGGCAGGAGGAUCUCGAGUUCAAAGCCAGCCUCAGCAACAGUGAGGCACUAAGCAACUCGGUGAGACCCUAUCUCUC
rnacentral:sRNA from 1 species